rnacentral:piRNA from 1 species
UAGCACUUCUACUCUCAGAAAACUGCGUGGU